UAACCCUUCCUCUAUAUCAUAUAGUAUAAAUAGUUUUUUAUAUUUUUUUUAUGCAUAGUGUUGGUAUAUCUGCCGGCAGGGCAUAUGUUAGCGAGUGCGCACCAUCAGACUGAAUCGCAUAUCAUUGGGGAGCAGAGACUUACAGUGUGCAGUAAAGAAAUAAAAGGGUAAAUAGCCUUUUAUUUUUUAGCCAACCACAGUGCUUCAUGCAAAAGAGUCCAAAGGGUUCCUGCCGUCCGCUGUUGUCGUACAAUACCGAUAGUAACGCUACAGUUGUGUUUGUGUGUUCGACAAGCGCACUUGUAUUGGUUUUAGUUUAUUUUCUUUUUUUUUUUUAAAACGUGUGUUUCAAUUUAUUUAAUUUCACUCCAGUGUUUGUUAUAAGUGCAUACAAUUAUUUUUCUUAAAUAACCAGCAAAAAGGAUUAAUUAUUUAGAAUGUGUAUAAAAGAACUUGGAUUGCAAUGGUCUCAAAUACAAUUGUUUUUCGUAAUAAGUACGAGCAUAUAUACGAGUGCACAUUGCAGUGGACGGAUAUUUUCAUGAUAUAUAUAUAUCGGGCAUGUUGCCUAUACAGAUCGCCGUCCAAUACACUUAUGAACGAGAUAAGGAGAAAACGGUCUCCCGCCCGGAAUCAUUUCGAGAAUAACAAUGAAGACGGUUUUAAUUCCAGCAUUGUACAGCGAGCCGAAGCUUUUAUUAACGUCCAAAGCUCUACGGGCUUUUAAUAUAUAUAUAUGUAUGUAUGUAUGUACGUGUAUAUGUAUGGGAUGGAUGAAAAGCCGAGGCAGCGGUCCCGGAAACAGAGAUGGAAAGAUUUUUCCGCAAGUAUACUGUUUGAACUACGAACGCGAACAACAAAAAUUAAUACCAACAUAUUUGAAUGCGAUGUGAUGCAUUGUUAUGGUUGAUCGGAGACGUAACGCCAAAGAAAUCACAUUGAUCAUUUUUUGAUACUUACACUAUGACCAACGCAUUACGACGACGGUGAUAUGUUGAACCGACUUUAUAGUCAUUUGUUCAGCAAACGAUUUGUCUGGCUGUUAACACUUUUAAUAAUUUGAGUUAUUUUUUUCAGCACUUGCGUACAUUGUUCAGAACCGUUUGUUUGCCAUAUUAUGAUCACUGUGAUUUAAAGUUCAGCUAUGAAGACGCACUCGUUCUUCCCACGAACGUACAUCAAACCAUAAGUUGAGUUAUGUGUUAAUUAUAUUCUCACUAAAGUUCUAAAAUACCUAUAGGUACUGUUGUUGUCGUUAUUUAAUAAUGUAUCGCUGGUUAGUUUUUUUCAGGCAUACAACAGCAGCUACACAUCCAGUCAAGGCGAACGCGAUGUCGUCAUGUUAAUAUAAGUUUAAAAUUUAGAACUUCUGUCGGUAUUGUAAACAGUUAUAACUGGCACCUAUAAUAGUGGAGUAAAAUGUGAUUAAUUGAA